rnacentral:rRNA from 1 species
UACGUAGGUGGCAAGCGUUGUCCGGAUUUACUGGGCGUAAAGGGCGUGCAGGCGGCGGCGCAAGUGUCGAGUGAAAUCCCAUCGCUCAACGAUGGAACGGCUCGGCAAACUGCGUCGCUUGAGGUCGGUAGAGGUGCUCGGAACUCUAGGUGGAGCGGUGAAAUGCGUAGAUAUCUAGAGGAACGCCUGAGGCGAAAGCGGGGCACUGGGCCGAUUCUGACGCUGAUACGCGAAAGCGUGGGGAGCAAACAGG